CCUUAGAGCAAGGGGGACCCGCUGCUCUUAGGGUGACCAACAAAAGAAGACCGUGCUCCCAUCUGCAUCGGAGGAUCCCAGCCCACUGAGGCUCCGCACACGGUUCCUCUAACGCCGGGUGAUUGUGAACCGCCCUCCCCUCCCCCGCGAGAGCCGCCUUCCCGGUUCUGAGCCGGGCCUGCAGAGGUUCCCGCUACGCCUGGGAGGCAGUGAGAGGCUUCAGUAGCCAAACAGCUUUCCAGAGCUGGAGGAGAGGCCUUGGCCUGACUCACCGUUGCCCUGGCAACAGGAGGGCCUGGAGGCCUCCGGCCCUGAUCCCUUAAUCUGAGGAGCCUCCACCACUGUGCCUCGGGAAAGGUCUCCCACAGACACCUGGCUGGUUAAAGCAUCGAGAGGAGACGGAGGAGGGGCUCUUUCCAGGAGCACAGCUGCCUACGUGUCUCCGUGAUGGCCUCCGCUUUCCCGACCCUCAAAGGCUCGGUCUAGAGGCCCAGGCUGCAAGAUCGGAAGUGCUGUCAAGGGAGAUGCCUUCCUAUCCUUCUGUGUCUCUCCUUGGGGCCCCACACAACUGCUUUGCACACAGGUGGUGCUUAAUAAGUACCUGGGGCUGUAGGACGAGGAGCAUCCCCAAGGGACCAGACUCAGGCCCCCCCAGCCCCCCAACCUGAGUGAAGACCCUGCGGCGCAGGCACUAAUUUCUCCAGCUGCAAUGCCCUCGACUCCACAUGGAGGCCUUUUUUGCCUCUACAAUCUCUUCCCUUCUCUGACGACGUUGCUGAUUUUGGCAAACAUACGGCCCAGGACAUGUUCUGCGCAUCAUACUCUGUUUCCUCAAAUUUUGUCUUGAACCUGAGGAUAAAAUGGACUAAUUGGAAAGAGGUGCUGGCUUUCCUUUUCCAAUAACCAUUCAGAUCCCAGGGAAAGAACUCUGUGGUCAAGCACAUGGGUAUAGGAGUCAGAAAGACUGGAGUUCAAAUUCUGACUGUGCCAUUAGGUUGCUGUGUGACUUUGGGCCUAGUCAGCCUCUCUGAGCCUAACCUCUUCAUCUGUAAAAUGAGUAGAACGUAAAGUCUUCAUAGUAAGCAGCAUUCAAUUAAUGGCAAUUACUCUUUCUGGUACACAACUCCAUGGCAACUGGUUUGAGUCUGGCCUUCUAAUUAAAUUAAGGACGACGGAGGAGAGCACUGUGGACGGCUACCAGCUACCCAGAAAGGCUGGGGUACCGCCCACUGCAAACUCUGGCUUGGGGCUGACAGGUGCGUUUCAGCCCCUGUCCACUGUGCUACCGAGACCAAGAUGGAGUUGUUGGCGUGCUUUUCAAGUUCUUCACGCUGAAAUACUUUCCCGCUUCUGCCUGUGGGGGACAAUCUCCUUCCCAGAGAUUCAUUCUUUUAGGAUACAACACCAGCGCGCUACCUACCUGAACUUGUUUUUCCUAAAUUAAGCCGUCUUUAAUUAUGAGCUAAUAAUGAAUCCACAAACUUUUACUGAGACCUUAGCGUGUGCCAACCUCUUUGCUACCUAUUUAUUCUUUACCUUAUUUAAGCCUCCAAACAAUGGAGCCCUUAUUGUCCCUAUUGAACAGGUGAGGAAGUUGAUGUUCCGCUAAUUAACUGGUUCAGGGCCAUAGAGCUGUCAAGUUGAGAUCCACAUCUGUUCCACUCCAGAGUCUGUCUGCACUUUGGUGACCGUCCUUGGGAGCAGUUGGCCUCUGACGCCAUGGGGAUCACGGUGGAUGGAAAGUGAGAAUCACCAUGGUGUGAGCGAAGGGACACCGCAGAGCACAGGGCCUCCCCCACCCCCACCCCAGCAGAAGAGGUCUGGAGAAGAGGUUAGAGCCAAGGAAGGGAAGAUGGAGACACAGAGAACCCCCGAAAGCCCAGCCCAGCCCCACACAAGUACCAGUCCCGGACUAUAUUUAAUCCUUUAUAACCAGAUUUCCUAGGGAAAGAAAGGCUCACCAUUCGCACAUGGCCCACAGUGCCCCGAGGAUGCCCUGGUAACCGUGUAUGACAAAGGAAGUCACCCCGAGCCCCCCCAGACCGCCGUGGCCUCCUCCUCAAGUAUGAGCAUCUCCGGCCCUCUUUGGUCCUCCAGUGCCAGGACUGGUAAAGAUGCUGGGCACCAGUGGCCCUUCAUCAAGUGUCUCAAGGCCUCUGCUAACAUCCCGUUUCCUCUGGCCUCCCUUCAGCCCCCAGCCACCAGACCCGUCAUCCGCGGCCUGCCCACUGCACAUGGCUGGUUCCCCCAGAUGUCUGACCGCUGCACAUUUCCUUCCCGGCCCACCUCGGUCUCCUGCUGUCUGUCUGCAUCAUGCCUCUCCUCCUCGGCAACGGCUUCCCGUACGAGAGCAAAUCAAACUCCAUGGUCGUGAAGUCUUAGAUCCAAGACCCUCUCUGCACGAAGAGUCUGCUUCAAGCCAACGUUUUUGACCUUGGGUGUCUACACAAGCCCCUUUCUCCAGUUCAGUGGGUUUAGUCAGUCACUGCUUCUUAACAUUGGAGCCCGUUUUCCAUAUGUCCCCCUUUAAGAAUCUCGCCACCGAGAAGGCCUGGCCCAUUUUUCUCAUCCAGGGAAUCCUCCACAGUCCAGGAUGGGAUCUGACACCCCCCCCACCGCCCUCCCCCCGCCCCCGGAGAAGAGAAGCUCUUCUUCCGACUUCUCCAGGCUCUUCCUCCUGCCGUCUGCACAGGGGCCUCACCGCCUGCUCCUGGAUCUGACUCUGCUCUUCCACCAGGACCAAGGCUGGCCUCACAAGCCCUUCGCACCAGCCCUGGCCUCCGCCCGGCCUCCGGCUGCUUGCUCUAAUGUCCUACCAGCCUUUGGAAACUUUCCAGACAAGUCAGAUCCUGUCAAAUGUGAGACCUUGAGCAUCGCUUCCCCUCUGCGCCUCAGUUUAUGCAUCCUUAUAAAGGAGGGGGUUGACGACCUCUUGCUCUCUGGGGAGUCAAUAAUAUGGCACCUUUUCCCUCACA